CAGCAGCCGCGGGAAUACGGAGGGUGCAAGCGUUAAUCGGAAUUACUGGGCGUAAAGCGCACGCAGGCGGUCUGUCAAGUCAGAUGUGAAAUCCCCGGGCUUAACCUGGGAACUGCAUUUGAAACUGGCAGGCUAGAGUCUUGUAGAGGGGGGUAGAAUUCCAGGUGUAGCGGUGAAAUGCGUAGAGAUCUGGAGGAAUACCGGUGGCGAAGGCGGCCCCCUGGACAAAGACUGACGCUCAGGUGCGAAAGCGUGGGGAGCAAACAGGAUUAGAUACCCGUGUAGUCCCUGUCUCUUAUAC
rnacentral:rRNA from 1 species